CUCUUGUUAUUUAUAUGUUAUGGUUAUUAUGUAUUGUUGGUUACCAUUUAUUAGAUGUUUAUGUUGAUAUCACUUAAACCUGCGAAUACUGGCGGGUGACGCUAGGGGGUAGUGGUGAGCCGCAGCGCGUUUCACUUGUUGACCAGAAGAAGUCACACUGCCAGCUAUUUCAACACUGUGAUACAGAAAGCAAUCUAAUUGUUGUCUCUGUUGAAUUUGCAGACUUUACAGUGUGUGACAGAAAUAAAAACUAUAUGUGCCACCAGAAAAACAGCCUCUUCUGAUGUGUGCAACAUAUUCAUGGCGAGCCAGCCAGGAGGACUGCUGAUUGGAUGUGAGAGAGACAGUUCCUCCCUGAGACGAACCUAGAAGUAACAGAAGAUUAAUCAAUACAGAGAAUAAAGAACAUUUAAUAAAGACUG